UAAAUUGUUUCCGCGGUGUAC
rnacentral:siRNA from 1 species